rnacentral:rRNA from 1 species
GACGAACGCUGGCGGCGUGCCUAAUACAUGCAAGUCGAGCGCAGGAAAUCGACGGAACCCUUCGGGGGGAAGUCGACGGAAUGAGCGGCGGACGGGUGAGUAACACGUAAAGAACCUGCCCUCAGGUCUGGGAUAACCACGAGAAAUCGGGGCUAAUACCGGAUGGGUCAUCGGACCGCAUGGUCCGAGGAUGAAAGGCGCUUCGGCGUCGCCUGGGGAUGGCUUUGCGGUGCAUUAGCUAGUUGGUGGGGUAAUGGCCCACCAAGGCGACGAUGCAUAGCCGACCUGAGAGGGUGAUCGGCCACACUGGGACUGCGACACGGCCCAGACUCCUACGGGAGGCAGCAGUAGGGAAUCCUCCACAAUGGACGAAAGUCUGAUGGAGCAACGCCGCGUGAACGAUGAAGGCCUUCGGGUCGUAAAGUUCUGUUGUAAGGGAAGAACAAGUGCCGCAGGCAAUGGCGGCACCUUGACGGUACCUUGCGAGAAAGCCACGGCUAACUACGUGCCAGCCGCCGCAGUAACAC